UGAAAGGCAUGGUGUACGUAGAUAGAUUCAUGUUCUGACAUGGAAGGAUAGUCUCAAUACACUCUAAAAAUGAAGACAACCAAGUUCUAAACAGUUUAUGUACACAGAGUUGAGUAGCUAUGCUAUAGAGUACAUUUUUUUUACAAAUCAAUAAGAAAAAUGAUAGAAAAAAAUCUAAGAAAAUAGAGAGGCGAGAAUAUGAGUAGACAAUUCACGGAAGAAAAAUAAGAGGCUGAUAAAUACAUGUAUAGAUGCUGAACAUCAGCAAUAGUUAAAAAAAUCAAAUCAUUAGGAUGCUAUUUUACCCAUUUUAGAUUGGAAAAUAUUAAAGAUAUCCAGUGUUGCCAAGGGAGCAUGGCACAGACCUUCUCACACUAUGUUUGUGGGAAUGUGCAAGGAAAGAGUGAACAGAAGGUCCAUCUCA
rnacentral:lncRNA from 10 species